rnacentral:rRNA from 1 species
CAAGCGGUGGAGCAUGUGGUUUAAUUCGAUGCAACGCGAAGAACCUUACCUACUCUUGACAUCCAGCGAACUUAGCAGAGAUGCUUUGGUGCCUUCGGGAACGCUGAGACAGGUGCUGCAUGGCUGUCGUCAGCUCGUGUCGUGAAAUGUUGGGUUAAGUCCCGCAACGAGCGCAACCCUUAUCCUUUGUUGCCAGCGAUACGGUCGGGGACUCAAAGGAGACUGCCGGUGAUAAACCGGAGGAAGGUGGGGAUGACGUCAAGUCAUCAUGGCCCUUACGAGUAGGGCUACACACGUGCUACAAUGGCGCAUACAAAGAGAAGCGACCUCGCGAGAGCAAGCGGACCUCAGAAAGUGCGUCGUAGUCCGGAUCGGAGUCUGCAACUCGACUCCGUGAAGUCGGAAUCGCUAGUAAUCGUGGAUCAGAAUGCCACGGUGAAUACGUUCCCGGGCCUUGUACACACC